GGAGGCUGCUGCUCUUUAGUGCUUCGCAGAGCUCUCCUCUGCUUUUCCAGUGGAGCAACAGUGCCAACUGCCGGCUGCUGAAUUUGGCCUGUAAGAGAUGUCUACUCUAAACGGGCUCUUGUUCAUUUAAGCUUAAUUUUGAGGGCAUAGGUACAUAAAAUCUGGGAUUCCUUGGCUGACGGUUUGGGUACUGAGAAAUAAUAUCUCAGUUUUUUAGUCCCUGUUUCCAUACCAAAAUAAUAUUUCAUCAUGGUCAGAUAAGCCCAUGCCAAUUACCUUUCCUUGGGACAUUUCACACAGUAGUUUCAACACUUUCCGCUAAUCUUGUUUUAAGGUUCCCUGUCUCUGUUUCUCUUCUGAUCUUUCUGUCCCAGCACUGGCUGCUGGGAGGGAGGAGAAGGUUUCUAUUCAGCAUGGUGGAAGUGCAAUGAAAGGUAUAACAUACACUGUGUGAUCUUUUUAAUCAUUCAGUACAUAGUAGCUGCAGUUUGCCAACUACAAAUUUGAGAUUCUUGCAUGUGCUGCAGCCAGUAUGAGAUCUGAGGUGAAUUAGAUGGUGGUUUACAGACUUCUGCACAGGGUUUGCCUGCCACACAGCUGUUUUUUUUGUGAGAAGAAAGGGAAAGAAAACGAGGGAAGAAAGGAAGAAGAACAGAAUGGGUACACUUUGUGAUUGUUGCUGGUCCAGAGUGGUCUCGCUGUGCAAUCAGACAAGCAGUAGUGGCAGAGGGGAAGCAGAGACUGUAUGAGCCCAUCUUACUCCUGGCUGCAGCUUCUUGACUGCUGCAGUGCGCGAUUGCAUGACCCGAGCUGUUGCGUGUUCAGCGUCACCUCUGCCAGCCUGAGCGACAGAAAGGAAGUAUUUGCUGCUUUCUACUUCAUUUAAACCUCCAGGAGCCAAUAGCCCUCGUCCUUCGUGUGCAUCAAGGCACCCACAUGUGCCACUAGGAAUCCUUUAGCAAGUAAUGUUCGAGCAAAUCUGCUAAUAACAGAGGCAUGCACACAGAUCACCGUGAUCACAAUUUGGCCUAACAGAACCUUUAUUACUAACGGUGAUGCUGGAGACGGAAAACCCAGCUUGGUUCUCAUAUCCCUGCUGUAAAGUAAUAAAAUAAAGAAGAAGAAAAAAAUCA
rnacentral:lncRNA from 1 species